rnacentral:rRNA from 1 species
GAUGAACGCUGGCGGCGUGCCUAAUACAUGCAAGUCGAGCGAAGCGGGGACGGGUGAGUAACACGUGGAUAACCUCCUAUAAGACUGGGAUAACUUCGGGAAACUGGAGCUAAACCGGAUAAUUAUAGAUGGAUCUGCGCUGCAUUAGCGAGUUGGUAAGGUAACGGCUUACCAAGGCAACGAUGCAUAGCCGACCUGAGAGGGUGAUCGGCCACACUGGAACUGAGACACGGUCCAGGCUCCUACGGUCGGCAGCAGUGGGGAAUCGUCCGCAAUGGGCGAAAGCCUGACGGAGCAACGCCUCGUGAGUGAUGAAGGUCUUCGGAUCGUAGAACUCUUUUAUUAGGGAAGCUGUACCUACUCAGAAAGCCACGGCUGACUACGUGCCAGCAGCCGCGGUAAUAC